rnacentral:lncRNA from 1 species
UUCCGAGCAGGUGUCUCUUUAAGUACUUAUUCUAAAUGGAACACAACUGGGCGACAUCAGAAAGGGCACUGUUGACAACUGUCAUAGCAGGUUCCAGCUUGAAUGGUAACUGAGCAGAAGGUAUCUCUCCAGAGUACUUCAGAUCAUCCUAAAAGCAGCAUCAUUUCCACCAGGAACCCAGCUUCUACCAGAAAAGAGUGCUGGGAAAUGGUGCUUCUGGUUAUUUGAAAUUUCAGAUGGUAACAAGCUUGGAAUUGUCUUUUUCUUCAGCUAUGGACUGUAUCAAAGUUUAUGGGCUAUAAUUGUAUUUUGGUUUCUGCCAGGCAUCAGGAUAGCUCAUUUGCAUGACUGGUACAAAAUUUACUUAUUCAGUGAAUCAUGCUCAGCUGCUGUACUGUUCAAUCUGUAAUAAUAACUGCAGGGUGACUGACUAACGAUAACUAAUCUUCUCUCAACUACAAAAGCAUGUAAAUUAGUAAAAUAAAUGUUUAGUUGUGUAUGUGUGUGUGUUUGCAUGUUGGAGUUGGGG